rnacentral:lncRNA from 1 species
CUAGAAUGCAAAUUGCAAGAGGGCAGAUAAAUGGUUCAUUCUGUUUCUAUUCACCAUUUCAUCGCAGGAAUGGAAGCAUAAUAGGCUCUCAGAACAUUUUUGUUCAGUGUUCAAUUGAUGAACAUAGGAGAGAGCUCAGGCUAACUUGGAAGUCAUUUAUGUGUAAGCACAGGGCAACUGGUUGUUACAGAAAAGAGAACAUUCAAGAAAUCAUGGAGGUGGAAUACAGGAACCUGGGCACCACAUACGCAGAUUACGUGUUGCUCCGGGUUCUUUUGCCUUGACUCCAUAUCUGCCCCCUCAGUCUCUCCAGGACACAAUGUGGAAAACAUGGCCACUGACAGGUUGGCAUAACUGCCAGAAUAGCUUUAUUCAUCAGAAAGACAGGGACUGUCCUACUUACUACCAGUUCAAAAAUCCCUAGAAAAAGACUGCUAUUAGACUGGCUUUUCAAUGGCGGGUACCAACCCUUUAUCCAAUCCAUUGUGAUCGGCGUAGGAAGUCUCAUGAGUACAGUGAGAAUGCACUCCAGCCUGCCUAGAAUGGUCCUGUUUACAACUCUCAGCCUAACUUAUCAUCCACAGCACCCUCCCUCACUCUCAAAUAACGUGCUCUAG